rnacentral:rRNA from 1 species
UACGGAGGGUGCAAGCGUUGCUCGGAAUUAUUGGGCGUAAAGGGUAGGUAGGUGGCCUCAUUUGUCAGGGGUGAAAUCCUUGGGCUUAACUCAAGAAGUGCCCCUGAAACGGUGAGACUAGAGUGCUGGAGAGGGUCGUGGAAUUCCCGGUGUAGCGGUGAAAUGCGCAGAUAUCGGGAGGAACACCAAUGGCGAAGGCAGCUCGCUGGGACGGUACUGACGCUGAGACGCGAAAGCGUGGGGAGCAAACAGG